CCUACGUGAGGCUGCAGUGAGGAAUAUUGGUCAAUGGACGAGAGACUGAACCAGCCAAGUAGCGUGCAGGAUGACUGCCCUAUGGGUUGUAAACUUCUUUUAUAUGGGAAUAAAAUGUUUCACGUGUGGUAUUUUGUAUGUACCAUAUGAAUAAGGAUCGGCUAAUUCCGUGCCAGCAGCCGCGGUACUACGGAGGAUCCGAGCGUUAUCCGGAUUUCUUGGGUUUAAAGGGAGCGUAGGUAGAUUGUUAAGUCAGUUGUGAAAGUUUGUGGCUCAACCGUAGAAUUGCAGUGGAAACUGGCAGUCUUGAGGGCAGGAGAGGUGGGCGGAAUUCGUGGUGUAGCGGUGAAAUGCUUAGAUAUCACGAAGAACUCCGAUUGCGAAGGCAGCACACGG
rnacentral:rRNA from 1 species